rnacentral:rRNA from 1 species
GACGAACGCUGGCGGCGUGCUUAACACAUGCAAGUCGAACGGAAAGGCCUGCUUUCCCUUGUGGAUUGCGGGUACUCGAGUGGCGAACGGGUGAGUAACACGUGAGUGAUCUGCCCCCAACUUGGGUAUAAGCCUGGGAAACUGGGUCUAAUUCCCGAUAGGACUGCAGGGUGGUGCCUGUGGUGGAAAACGAUUUUCUAGUGGUUGGGGAUGAGCUCGCGGCCUAUCAGCUUGUUGGUGGGGUAAUGGCCUACCAAGGCGGCGACGGGUAGCCGGCCGGAGAGGGUGGACGGCCACAUUGGGACUGAGAUACGGCCCAGACUCCUACGGGAGGCAGCAGUGGGGAAUAUUGCACAAUGGGCGGAAGCCUGAAGCAGCGACGCCGCGUGGGGGAUGACGGCCUUCGGGUUGUAAACUCCUUUCGACCGCGAGGAAGCCACCUGGUUGGAAGGGUGGUGACGGUAGUGGUAGAAGAAGCACCGGCUAACUACGUG